rnacentral:rRNA from 1 species
UACGUAGGGUGCAAGCGUUGUCCGGAAUUAUUGGGCGUAAAGAGCUCGUAGGCGGUUUGUUGCGUCGGCUGUGAGAUCCCGAGGCUCAACCUCGGGUCUGCAGUCGAUACGAGCAAACUAGAGUGUUGCAGGGGAGACUGGAAUUCCUGGUGUAGCGGUGAAAUGCGCAGAUAUCAGGAGGAACACCGGUGGCGAAGGCGGAUCUCUGGGCCGUAACUGACGCUGAGGAGCGAAAGCAUGGGGAGCGAACAGG